GUGGGGAUAGCUCAAAGAGCACAUGCUUAGCAUGCAUGAGGUCCUGGGUGCAAUCCCCAGUACCUCCA
rnacentral:tRNA from 1 species